rnacentral:rRNA from 1 species
CAGCACCUCAAGUGGUCAGGAUGAUUAUUGGGCCUAAAGCAUCCGUAGCCGGCGCUGUAAGUUUUCGGUUAAAUCUGUACGCUCAACGUACAGGCUGCCGGGAAUACUGCAGCGCUAGGGAGUGGGAGAGGUAGACGGUACUCGGUAGGAAGGGGUAAAAUCCUUUGAUCUAUUGAUGACCACCUGUGGCGAAGGCGGUCUACCAGAACACGUCCGACGGUGAGGGAUGAAUGCUGGGGGAGCAAACCGGAUUAGAUACCCGAGUAGUCC